rnacentral:rRNA from 1 species
AUUGAGCGCUGGCGGCAUGCCUUACACAUGCAAGUCGAACGGUAACAGGUCUUCGGAUGCUGACGAGUGGCGAACGGGUGAGUAAUACAUCGGAACGUGCCUAGUAGUGGGGGAUAACUACUCGAAAGAGUGGCUAAUACCGCAUGAGAUCUACGGAUGAAAGCAGGGGAUCGCAAGACCUUGUGCUACUAGAGCGGCCGAUGGCAGAUUAGGUAGUUGGUGGGAUAAAAGCUUACCAAGCCGACGAUCUGUAGCUGGUCUGAGAGGACGAUCAGCCACACUGGGACUGAGACACGGUCCAGACUCCUACGGGAGGCAGCAGUGGGGAAUUUUGGACAAUGGGCGCGAGCCUGAUCCAGCAAUGCCGCGUGCAGGAUGAAGGCCUUCGGGUUGUAAACUGCUUUUGUACGGAACGAAAAGCCCUGGGUUAAUACCCUGGGGUCAUGACGGUACCGUAAGAAUAAGCACCGGCUAACUACGUGCCAGCCGCCGCCGUAACAC